UCCUUUCUUUAAGUUUGAAUCCUUCGAGAGUAAAACCUCAAUUUAUUCAACGAACUGAAGCUUGAAAAAUUCGUUCAAAGCAUUUCAACAAGCUAAAACUUGAUUCGUCCAAAUAAUUCAAGGAACAGAAAUGUAAUUCCAACAAAAAUUUUGCAGUUAUAAAAGAGUACGGUGCAAUCUUCGCUAAGAAUAUUAUACGGAGUUUUCCUUACCCCAGUCAUGCAUAUUCAUUUACCACCGAGCUACGGUCGGUCGGGAAGCCAUGUAUUUACCACCGAGCUACGGCCGAUCACGGCAGUUACCACAGGUUGGGCAGUUAUAUAUUAUUAUUUACCACCGGUUGGGCAGUGCAUUUACCAUCGAGCUACAACCGGUCGGGCAGUUACCACUGAUCAGUUGGGCAGUUAACGUCACAAAAAUGAGGAUCAUGUUUAGGCCGACCACGCCUGGGUAGGCAAUCUUAAGGUCUUUUUCUAUUUGUUUGUUUUUGGUUUCGAGGUGAGAGGUCGCUCCCUUUAUUUUAUAUUCAGGGGAAUGCCCCGUAGAUCUUGUAUAUAUUUUUAUCCGGGGUAUGCCCCGAAGUAUUUGUAUUUGGAGGCCGAAAGUAGAACUCGUAGUAUUCUAAUUUUAUUUUCAUUUUU